GACGUAGGAUGCGAGCGUUGUCCGGAUUUAUUGGGCGUAAAGAGUUCGUAGGCGGUUUGUUAAGUCUGAUGUAAAAGACUGGGGCUCAACCUCGGGACUGCAUUGGAUACUGGCAGACUGGAGUACGGUAGAGGCAAGUGGAAAUUCCCAGUGUAGCGGUGAAAUGCGUAGAUAUCCGGAGGAACACCGGUGGCGAAGGCGGCUUACCUGGACCGACACUGACGCUGAGGCGCGAAAGCUAGGGGAGC
rnacentral:rRNA from 1 species